rnacentral:rRNA from 1 species
AUAGUUUUAUCCUGGCUAAAAAUUCGAUGCUUAAAAAAAAGUAUGCAUGGUAUCCCUGAAAGUUACACCGUAUUAUAUUAUUUAAAAGAUUUUUUUAUAACUCGCAGCAUAAAAUAUUAAACAAUUGUUUCAAGACUGAUUUAAUUUUAUAUCCAGGUUUGGCUAAACAUUGUGCCAGCAGCCGCGGUUAUACCUUCAAACCAAGUCAAAUUUAUUCAGUAUGUAAAAAUUUUAACAAACUAAUUUUUGAUAUAAAUGAAAAGUAAAAUUUAUUGUUUUUAUUUUAAACAUUAUUUUAGUUAAAAAGAAUCAACUUAAGAAAGCUUUAACAAAA